ACUAGCGUUAAUACGCCGGUUCUCGUACAAUCACCAAUGUUAAGCAGCGUCGAGUCUCGUUAGUACUUAGAUGGGUGACCGUUUGGGAAGGCCAGGUGCUC